UUGCCGGAAAAUUACUGUAGAUGCCGGAAAAACUUCAAAGUGGUCGGAAUUGAAAAGUAAAAAUAUGGGUAGGCUCGGAAUUUGAGGGCGAUCCCCUGAAGGACCUUCGUCAGAAACUCAUCGAAACAGUGCUCACGCGCCGGCGCGUGGGACAGACGCGCCGGCGGUGGCAGAACUCCGGCGGCGCGUGGAGGCGCAUGGGAGGUUCGUUUCCGGUGAUUUUUUUCAAAGGUUGGUCGGAAUUCUUUUCUGAACCUCUUGGUGGUCUCGGAUUUUGCACAACACCAACAAAA
rnacentral:lncRNA from 1 species